rnacentral:misc_RNA from 1 species
GAAAUGCGAUAAGUAAUGUGAAUUGCAGAAUUCAGUGAAUCAUCGAAUCUUUGAACGCACAUUGCGCCCGCCAGCACUCUGGCGGGCAUGCCUGUUCGAGCGUCAUUUCAACCCUCAGAACCCCUUGCGGGAUCUGGCGUUGGGGAUUGGCAUCCAGCCAGCCCCGAAAUCUAGCGGCGGUCCCUCCGCGACCUCCCCUGUGCAGUAGCGAUACCUCGCAGCGGGACAGCGGUCUGACCACGCCGUAAAACCCCCAACUUCUCAAGGUUGACCUCGAAUCAGGUAGGAAUAUCCGCUGAACUUAAGC